GCUUGUCUCAAAGAUUAAGCCAUGCAUGUUCAAGUAUAGCAAGUGUACAGUGAAACUGCGAAUGGCUCAUUAAAUCAGUUAUAAUUUAUUUGAUAGUGAAAUUGUACAUGGAUAACCGUGGCAAUUCUAGAGCUAAUACAUGCAUCAACUCCCAACUGCUUCGCGGAAGGGAUGUAUUUAUUAGAUUGAAACCAAUGCACUUCGGUGGUAUUGUGGUGAAUCAUGAUAACUUUGCGGAUCGUAUGGCUUCACGCCGACGAUGAAUCAUUCAAGUUUCUGCCCUAUCAGCUUUGGAUGGUAGGGUAUUGGCCUACCAUGGCUUUGACGGGUAACGGAGAAUUGGGGUUCGGUUCCGGAGAGGGAGCCUGAGAGAUGGCUACCACAUCCAAGGAAGGCAGCAGG
rnacentral:rRNA from 1 species